rnacentral:rRNA from 1 species
CAGCGGCGCACGGGUGAGUAACACGUAGGUAACCUGCCUCGGAGACUGGGAUAACCUGUCGAAAGACGGGCUAAUACCGGAUACGACCACGGGAGUUGCGGCUUUCGUGGUGAAAGGUGGCCUCUGCUUGCAAGCUACCAAUCUGAGAUGGGCCUGCGCGCCAUUAGCUAGUUGGUGAGGUAACGGCCCACCAAGGCGGAGAUGGCUAGCUGGUCUGAGAGGAUGGCCAGCCACACUGGGACUGAGACACGGCCCAGACUCCUACGGGAGGCAGCAGUGGGGAAUAUUGCGCAAUGGGCGAAAGCCUGGCGCAGCGACGCCGCGUGGGUGAUGAAGGCCUUCGGGUCGUAAAGCCCUGUCGGGAGGGACGAAUUCUUGGCGACCUAAUACGUCGUCGACUUGACGGUACCUCCGAAGGAAGCACCGGCUAACUCCGUGCCAGCAGCCGCGGUAAUACGGAGGGUGCAAGCGUUGUUCGGAAUCACUGGGCGUAAAGCGCGUGUAGGCGGCUUCUUAAGUCUGGUGUGAAAGCCCGGGGCUUACCCCCGGAAGGGCACUGGAGACUGGGGAGCUAGAGUACCGGAGAGGAGGGUGGAAUUCCUGGUGUAGCGGUGAAAUGCGUAGAUAUCAGGAGGAACACCGGUGGCGAAGGCGGCCCUCUGGACGGAUAC